UACGGAGGGUGCAAGCGUUAUCCGGAUUCACUGGGUUUAAAGGGCGCGUAGGCGGCCUUCUAAGUCAGACGUGAAAUCCCCAGGCUUAACUUGGGAACUGCGUCUGAUACUGGGAGGCUUGAGUGCGGGAGAGGGAUGUGGAAUUCCAGGUGUAGCGGUGAAAUGCGUAGAUAUCUGGAGGAACACCGGUGGCGAAGGCGGCAUCCUGGACCGACACUGACGCUGAGGCGCGAAAGCUAGGGGAGCAAACGGG
rnacentral:rRNA from 1 species